rnacentral:rRNA from 1 species
GCUUACACAUGCAAGUCGAGCGGUAACAUUUCUAGCUUGCUAGAAGAUGACGAGCGGCGGACGGGUGAGUAACGCGUAGGAAUCUGCCUAGUAGUGGGGGACAACAUGUGGAAACGCAUGCUAAUACCGCAUACGCCCUACGGGGGAAAGGAGGGGAUCUUCGGACCUUUCGCUAUUAGAUGAGCCUGCGUGAGAUUAGCUAGUUGGUGGGGUAAAGGCCUACCAAGGCGACGAUCUCUAGCUGGUCUGAGAGGAUGAUCAGCCACACUGGGACUGAGACACGGCCCAGACUCCUACGGGAGGCAGCAGUGGGGAAUAUUGGACAAUGGGCGCAAGCCUGAUCCAGCCAUGCCGCGUGUGUGAAGAAGGCCUUAGGGUUGUAAAGCACUUUCAGGAGUGAGGAAGGGCGUGCAGUUAAUACCUGUAUGUCUUGACGUUAACUCCAGAAGAAGCACCGGCUAACUCUGUGCCAGCAGCCGCGGUAAUACAGAGGGUGCGAGCGUUAAUCGGAAUUACUGGGCGUAAAGCGCGCGUANGCGGUUUG